UAGCAGCAUGUAAAUAUUGGAGUUAAGCUCUUGUGAAAGUCCCCAAUAUUAAUUGUGCUGCUGGA
rnacentral:pre_miRNA from 1 species